CUGCCUGCUGGAAAACCAGAAUUUCCGUUCAUGAUAUGUGGAGAGGUACACAGCAUACAUCAUCCCACUAGUGACUGCCGCAAGACAGCCAAAGAAAAGUUUCGCAAAACGCUGAAUUAACAUAUAUUUUGGCGACCUUCCCAGCUUCGAGUUUUCUUUGUGUCUCUCCUCUGGAGCCAUUUUGUCAGAUUCUGUGCAGUUUUGUUUCCUCCUCUGUCGCAGGUCUGCUGCCCCUGAGGACAUUUUGUAGGAAGUUAUUGCAACCGUAUUCCUAAAACUGCAGCCUGAGAAGCCCAUGCGGCAGCAGGUAACAGCCAGUUACUGCUACAGUGCAGCCACACAGCAAAUAGGUUUGACAAAUACACCCAGCUAAAGCAUUUCAGGUGCCCAACUGAAACAGUGUAACAAUGCACAGAUCCAUUUGUAUGCUGUUCCUUUGAAAACUCAGUGGGUUUCUCUGGAGGCCAUACUCUGGGAUUGCCCAGAGCUCAAACUGGAAGGAAAGAGGAAGAGCGGGUAAGUUGGCACUGACAGUGCGACAAACCAAUGCCACUUCCAUUCAGGUUUAACUGUAAUGACACUCCAGAAUUCCCAUCUCACUGACCUACUGCCCAACAGUGGCUACAGAACUCCAAGCAGUGCUCUCCCCUCUCAUA
rnacentral:lncRNA from 1 species